AUAAUGGAUUCGAGCAGGCCCCUAAACAGAAGUUUCUCUAAUCCAGAUGAUUCAGAUUAUAUAUCUACAAAAAAAAAAAAAACAAGACCAGAGAAGAUCCAUUAUGCAUCGGUCUUGAGUGUCAUUCAUCCUUCACAAAAUCCCCCAAGCAAGUUGGGGUAGUUGGUUACUUCACAAUAUUAAGUUGUUUUCUUGUCACAUUCCACUUGAAAUUCACCACUCUUAAGAUACACGGCUAAAUUUGCCUGG
rnacentral:misc_RNA from 1 species